rnacentral:pre_miRNA from 1 species
AGUGUGAUUGCUGUAUCCUGUGAUAAGAGUAUGUUUGUAAGAAACUGCCAGACUGUUUUCCAAAAUUGCCUUACUAUUUUGCAUUUCCUACAGCAAU